AACAGUUGUCAUCUCGGAACCCUAAAACUCUCUCUGGUUUGUGCUUCGGUCUUCAAAUCCACAUUCACUCUCAUCUGACUCUUCCAUUUCACUCUCCCCCUUUUUCUCCGGUUCAUUUUUCUGUAUCGAUCCUCUUUCUCGACAAGGCCAUGGCAGAAGGAAAUCUUGAUCUUCCUGACGAUCUUCUUUCCUCUAAGACUUCUGAUCACUCCAAAGGUAAUGAUGACAACAAGCCUUUCAUGGGCCAGCUUGAUAUUUCCAAAGAUCAACCAAUGGUGGACAGCAGCAUUCCUUUGUCUCCGCAGUGGCUUUAUGUUAAACCAAGCGACACAAAGAUGGAACCACGUCCACCAAGCUCUCUGUCACUUGGAAGUUCUGUUGAUUCAAGUCAGAAGGACGCUUGGCGUACAGAUGUACCUGAGGACAAGAAGGAUUGGAGAAGAAAGACAAUGGAAACUGAGAGCAGUCGCCGGUGGCGUGAGGAAGAGAGGGAAACUGGCUUGCUUGGUCGGAGAGAACGAAGGAAAACCGAUCGCCGUGCUGAGCAUGACGUUAAUAACCGUAAUUCUGGGGUUGAUACAAGGCGUGAUAACAAGUGGUCUUCUAGGUGGGGUCCUGAUGACAAGGAAAAAGAAAAUCGCACUGAGAAAAGGAUAGAUGUAGAUAAGGAAGAUGUUCAUAAUGAUGGCCAAACAUUUGUGGCCAACCGUACUGUCUCAGAACGGGAGUCAGAUUCUCGUGACAAGUGGCGUCCACGCUAUAAAAUGGAGGGCAACUCUGCAGCUCCAAGUUCCUAUCGAGCUGCUCCAGGUUUUGGACAGGAGAGAGGAAAAGUAGAAGGGUCAAAUGUGGGAUUUAACUUGGGUCGUGGGAGGUCUACUGGGACUAUUAUAAGAACUUCCUCUGGGGGUGCAAUUGGUGCUUCACCAUUUGAAAAUUCUGUUCCUGGAAAAUCAGGAAUCUCGACUGGCAUAUUCAGUUAUCCAAGGGGGAAAGCUCUUGACAUAUACCGCAGGCAAAAGCUUGGCUCAUCUCUUUGUA
rnacentral:misc_RNA from 1 species